rnacentral:rRNA from 1 species
GACAGAGGGGGCAAGCGUUGCUCGGAAUUACUGGGCGUAAAGGGCGCGUAGGCGGGAUGGCAAGUCGGUCGUGAAAUCCCUCGGCUCAACCGAGGAACGUCGAUCGAUACUGCUGUUCUUGAGGAUUGCAGAGGAGACUGGAAUUCCCGGUGUAGCGGUGAAAUGUGUAGAGAUCGGGGAGGAACGACCGGUGGCGAAGGCGGGUUGCUGGGCCGACAGCUGACGCUGAGGCGGCGAAAGCCAGGGGAGCGAACGGG